CAGCCGCCGCGGGAAUACAGAGGAUGCAAGCGUUAUCCGGAAUGAUUGGGCGUAAAGCGUCUGUAGGUGGCUUUUCAAGUCCGCCGUCAGAUCCCAAGGCUCAACCCUGGACAAGCGGUGGAAACUACCAAGAUGGAGUACGGUAGGGGCAGAGGGAAUUUCCGGUGGAGCGGUGAAAUGCGUUGAGGUCGGAAGGAACACCAACGGUGAAAGCACUCUGCUGGGCCGACACUGACACUGAGAGACGAAAGUUAGGGGAGAAAAUGGGAUUAGAUACCCCCGUAGUCCCUGUCUCUUAUAC
rnacentral:rRNA from 1 species